UACGAAGGGGGCUAGCGUUGUUCGGAAUUACUGGGCGUAAAGCGCACGUAGGCGGAUCGAUCAGUCAGGGGUGAAAUCCCAGAGCUCAACUCUGGAACUGCCUUUGAUACUGUCGGUCUAGAGUAUGGAAGAGGUGAGUGGAAUUCCGAGUGUAGAGGUGAAAUUCGUAGAUAUUCGGAGGAACACCAGUGGCGAAGGCGGCUCACUGGUCCAUUACUGACGCUGAGGUGCGAAAGCGUGGGGGAGCAAACAGGGAUUAGAAAACCCCUGGGUAGU
rnacentral:rRNA from 1 species